rnacentral:rRNA from 1 species
GCAAUAGCAAUAGAAACACUGAUUCCUGUAUGAUCACUGAAGUUAAGCAUUGUCAAUACAGGUCAGUACCUGAACGGGUGACCGCUUGGGAAUACCAGGUACUGUAAG